GUCACAGACCUCAGGAGGAGAGACAGCUGGUUUCCAUUGAGUGGCAGGCCUGCAAACGAGGAGAAGGAUGCGCUGGCAGAGGCAUGGGGAGCUCACCCAGCUCCAGACCCAUCACCUGGUUCUUCAGAGAAGGCUCCCUGCCCAGCCCAUGGCCAGAGCUUUGAGAAAGGAGCUCUGGGACCAGCAGAGACCCGGCCACCCUGAGGAAGGCGUCGGAGUAUGAGAAGCCAGCCUCUGAGUCAGGCAACAGAUUUCUGUCUUGUCUUGUCCUUCAGAGGCCAGACCUUCCUGGAAGCCAUGUCUUGCCAAGUCUUACUAGAUGGAUGCCAACAGCUGCCAGCCAUGACUCUGAAUGUGCAGAUGUCAAGAGAAAAAAUAAUCGCAGGAUAAGGCAGCUAAACUCAACGGGUUCUCACCAGAUGCCAGGGACUGUGGCAGGGGCUUCAGGUAAAGUUUCUCCCUUCAUUCUCAUAACCACUCUGGAGGCUCCUUCGACACUCAUUUGUCAGUAGAGAGUUACCAAGCUCCUGCUACCUUGAUGAGGUACUUGCUAAUGAAAAUACUGACCAAUAUUCAUGUCAAAACGAUGCUUGCUACUCUACACACACGAGUUCCACAUAAAUCAAUGUGUCCAUUAUCUUAGAACCAAUUGCCAAUAUGAAAUUUACAAUAAAAGCAUUUCUAUUUUA